GGAUUGUUCACCCACCAAUAGGGAACGUGAGCUGGGUUUAGAUCAUCAUGAGACAGGUUAGCUUUACCCUACUGAUGACAGUGUCACAAUACUAAUUCAACGUAGUACGAGUGGAACCGUUGAUUUGCACAAUUGGUCAUCGUGCAUGGUUGAAAAGCUAGUGGCGCGAAGCUACUGUGCUCUGGAUUAUGACUGAACGCCUCUAAGUUAGAAUCCGGGCUAGAAGCGACGCAUGCGCUCACUGCCCGCUUGCCAACCCGCAGUAGGGGCCGUCCGGCCCCCAAAGGCACGUGUCAUUGGUGAAGUCCGCGGGGCGGAUCGGCCGGGAAAGCUGCCUUGAAGUACAAUUCCUAUCCUGAGCGGAGGGUAGAAUCCUUUGCAGACAACUUAAAUAUGCGACAUGGUAUUGUAAGUGGCAGAGUGGCCUUGCUGCCACGAUCCACUGAGAUUCAGCCCUGCGUCGCUCCGAUUCGUCCCUCCC
rnacentral:rRNA from 1 species